CCCCAUCCUCCGGCGAUGAAUCCAUGGGGAAUGGACGCACGAUCCUUGGAGCGUGAAUGAUGGCAGACGUGAGGAAGGAGAGGGCGGACAGGAAGGGAGGACGCGUGAUCGCUGGGAUUUGGGGGAGAAUCACGGCGGAAGGGACGCUGCAAUGGGAUUCGCUGGCUGAAGAAGAAACGAAAGGCUGGGAGGACGUCGUGGGAUCGACGGGGAGGAGCCGAUCACGGCUGGUUGUUGGGCAGAAUGCACGGCUCGGCUGAUCGUGGAUGAGAUCCGGUGCGGAUCAGCUGGAACGGGCGGAUG
rnacentral:lncRNA from 1 species